UUUUACAAUGAAGAGUUUGAUCCUGGCUCAGGAUGAACGCUAGCUACAGGCUUAACACAUGCAAGUCGAGGGGCAGCAUGGUCUUAGCUUGCUAAGGCCGAUGGCGACCGGCGCACGGGUGAGUAACACGUAUCCAACCUGCCGUCUACUCUUGGACAGCCUUCUGAAAGGAAGAUUAAUACAAGAUGGCAUCAUGAGUCCGCAUGUUCACAUGAUUAAAGGUAUUCCGGUAGACGAUGGGGAUGCGUUCCAUUAGAUAGUAGGCGGGGUAACGGCCCACCUAGUCUUCGAUGGAUAGGGGUUCUGAGAGGAAGGUCCCCCACAUUGGAACUGAGACACGGUCCAAACUCCUACGGGAGGCAGCAGUGAGGAAUAUUGGUCAAUGGGCGAGAGCCUGAACCAGCCAAGUAGCGUGAAGGAUGACUGCCCUAUGGGUUGUAAACUUCUUUUAUAAAGGAAUAAAGUCGGGUAUGGAUACCCGUUUGCAUGUACUUUAUGAAUAAGGAUCGGCUAACUCCGUGCCAGCAGCCGCGGUAAUACGGAGGAUCCGAGCGUUAUCCGGAUUUAUUGGGUUUAAAGGGAGCGUAGAUGGAUGUUUAAGUCAGUUGUGAAAGUUUGCGGCUCAACCGUAAAAUUGCAGUUGAUACUGGAUAUCUUGAGUGCAGUUGAGGCAGGCGGAAUUCGUGGUGUAGCGGUGAAAUGCUUAGAUAUCACGAAGAACUCCGAUUGCGAAGGCAGCCUGCUAAGCUGCAACUGACAUUGAGGCUCGAAAGUGUGGGUAUCAAACAGGAUUAGAUACCCUGGUAGUCCACACGGUAAACGAUGAAUACUCGCUGUUUGCGAUAUACAGCAAGCGGCCAAGCGAAAGCGUUAAGUAUUCCACCUGGGGAGUACGCCGGCAACGGUGAAACUCAAAGGAAUUGACGGGGGCCCGCACAAGCGGAGGAACAUGUGGUUUAAUUCGAUGAUACGCGAGGAACCUUACCCGGGCUUAAAUUGCAGAUGAAUUACGGUGAAAGCCGUAAGCCGCAAGGCAUCUGUGAAGGUGCUGCAUGGUUGUCGUCAGCUCGUGCCGUGAGGUGUCGGCUUAAGUGCCAUAACGAGCGCAACCCUUGUUGUCAGUUACUAACAGGUUCCGCUGAGGACUCUGACAAGACUGCCAUCGUAAGAUGUGAGGAAGGUGGGGAUGACGUCAAAUCAGCACGGCCCUUACGUCCGGGGCUACACACGUGUUACAAUGGGGGGUACAGAGGGCCGCUACCACGCGAGUGGAUGCCAAUCCCCAAAACCUCUCUCAGUUCGGACUGGAGUCUGCAACCCGACUCCACGAAGCUGGAUUCGCUAGUAAUCGCGCAUCAGCCACGGCGCGGUGAAUACGUUCCCGGGCCUUGUACACACCGCCCGUCAAGCCAUGGGAGCCGGGGGUACCUGAAGUGCGUAAC
rnacentral:rRNA from 1 species